rnacentral:sRNA from 1 species
GCGCAGCCCCGAGGCCCCCGCGGCCCCCGCGGCCGCGCCAGGCCAGGUGUGCACUAGAAGGGGUCUGCGGCCGGGAAAGUUCUGUCCGGGUCCCUGCACCGCCCUCGGGAGGUCUUAGGUUGGCGGGCAUCUCCCACGUCUCGGAGCCCAAACGUGAGAAGCACACGGCUGAUUUCUUAAUUAUAUUCAUGCCAAGAUGAGAUAACUAUGGAGUAAUUUGCUUUAGAGGAACAGAGGAAAAACAUGGGUGAAUGGAAAGAUCCAAGGAAAGGGAGGUUUUUCUGAUCCGGUUGAGGUUGCACUUUGCGUAACUAUUAGCUUUCAUUGUUGAGGUUCCUCAGUGCUGAGCUAACAAGAGGGUACUUCCUUGAACAUAAUGAGGCCAAGUAUACAGAAAGAAGAGAAAGAGUAUACACUUGUUUGCGAAUACCAGGAGAAUUGGAAAAGCUGAUGGUUUUUGGAAUCUUUCUGUGCCUGGAUGCGUUUUUG